UACGUAGGGUGCGAGCGUUAAUCGGAAUUACUGGGCGUAAAGCGUGCGCAGGCGGUGAUGUAAGACAGUUGUGAAAUCCCCGGGCUUAACCUGGGAACUGCAUUGGUGACUGGCAGGCUUUGAGUGUGGCAGAGGGAGGUAGAAUUCCACGUGUAGCAGUGAAUGACGUAGAGAUGUGGAGGAAUACCGAUGGCGAAGGCAGCCUCCUGGGCCAACACUGACGCUCAGUGCACGAAAGCGUGGGGAGCAAACAGG
rnacentral:rRNA from 1 species